UUUUACCAUAGGCUUAGGAAUCUUUUCAAAGCAUUUUAACAAUCAUAUAUGAAUGGUGCCAUAUAAAAUAUCAUGAACAUUUUAUUUGCAUGAUCAUCAUGUCUUUUAGGUUGAUCUGUAUUACCAGAUGCACUUUUUCCCCCUUUUUUAAACUUUAACGUCUUGGUCUGGAGUCCAAAAUGUAUCCUUCCCAUAUAAAUCAGCUCACAUUGAUUCAUUAAUGUGUUUUGCAUGUAUCUGCCUAACAUGACCAUAUACCAUGUCUUUCAGAAGGAUCCCACGCUCAUGGGAGUGAGCAGGAUGGUCCAACCUUAAUGAAAGAGGCAGCUGUUCACUAUUUAUUUUUAUCCUCCUUGUUAGAUGUAUGGCCACGUACCCCAUACAUUACAUACCAUCCAUCCUCUGUAGUUAAUCAAGCAGGGCUCUUCAGUGACUAUAAUUCAUUCAUUCUGACUGCACAGUGCCGCUUCUUUCAUCAGACAUAUGUGAUCUUGUAACAGAUACUGUACUGGGCAGUAAUGUUAACUUUGUUGUUUCUCAAUUUUACUUUCAGCCUUCAGUUUGACCAACAUAAUGUUUGCAUGAAAUGCAAUAAUUAUUUGUGCCAGCACAGUAGACCACUAGAUAUUACAGUAUACGUGCUAUAAUUGGGCACACUAUAAACCACAUAAUUCUGUGCAGCUCUUUGACAUGCAUCAGUCCAGCUGUGUCCAGACUGGCAGUUUAUUGUGCAAUCGUAUCUGGAAAGUUGUACAAAGAGGUGGCAAAAUUCACACCACAUCUCACAAUCUGUCACUGUUUGUGCACACACUUCUGUGUUGUUUUUUGCAUCACAUUCCAAAGAGGAAGAGGCGGAAUCAGCAGAAAGGUAUAGAGAGAGGAGUAAUUUCUUUAGUUAAGGAUCCCCUUUCUUCACUCCAGUGGAGACAAACCACCCUGGACAGAAAUUACAGCUCAUUUCUAAGAGUCUGCAGAGAUGCAGAAGGACGUUGGGUCUGGCCAAAUCUCAAAUCAACUUUUCAAAACUAAGAAAAAAGGAAGAGGAAAAAAGUCCUUUUGUGUUGUCAUUGCUUUAGUCUGAUGAACCUCCAAGGAGCUGGAACUUUGCCCUCCAGUCACACGGGGAAGUAUGCCAAGAGAAAAAUGCUAAAGAGACAAGGAGACUAUCUAGACUUAUUGGAGUGAUAUUUUGUUGAAUACUACGUUUGCCACUGAAGAAGACUCAGAGUUGAAACACGUCUGGCAACAGCAUAUCCAUGAACAGAUGCUGGCAAAAUUAUGAUAUGUUAUCUCUUGGCGAAAACAAGACAUUGGGAAGAUUGACUUGGACUUCUCUCAUCAUUGAUGAGCUCUUGGACAACUGGACUUUUUAAUUUGAUACAGAGACCAUCUAAAUGACUAUGUUGUGUGUGUAUAUAUAGAUAUAGUGAUAUUGAUUGAGUUUUAUUACUCCCUACAUAACUGGGUAGUGUUCCCCAAGGGUACAGUUUUAUCAUAAUUAUAUUAAAAUAUAUGUACAUAUCUGGAUUCUUUUUGGACACCUUGAUAUAUUGCUGAAUCCAUAUAGGGUUUUGUUUUCACGUGUGUGGAGUUGCAUUACAACAGCGGUUCGUAAACCCCAGAUGUUGUUGGUCUAACAAGGCCAUUGUGGCUAGGGUUGAUGGGAAUUUUAGUCCAACAAUAUCUGGGGACCCAAGUUUGCAAACUGCUGCAUCACAAUAUAAGAAAGAUCGUGAAUAAGUAAAAUAUAGGUUGUUGGUAUAUAAGCUGUUGAGGACUACUUUAAAAGUUAUGAGAAGUAUUUGUUCAGUCUUGUGCAAGCAUGUGAGUAAAUGGAGGAACUCCUCUGCAGCGCUUGAAUGAUGGAGGGAAAGGGAGGAGGUCUGUGGUAUUUCAUCCAGUAAUCUUUUGCAGUUUGUUUGGACAUUUGUCCCAAGAGGCAUCCUGUAGAGAGUGUUGGGAAAGCAUCAGAAAGGAAAGGGGAGGGGAAAGAGGAGGAGAAAAUGGAGUUGCUGCUGAAUGAACCUUUAGUUAAAUCUACCUAAGGUGUGUAUGAGGGAAGCAGCUAUAAAACAAGGUCUUUAAUAAAAGCUCUGCCCCCUGCCCACACACACACAUUUUAGUAGUCAGGCUCCCCUGUAGCAUUCUAAAAACAGUAGCGAAUGAAGCCCCCACAAUAGGUGAGGAAACCUGGCCCCCUUGCCUCUGCCCCGGUAAUUGUCUCUGGAUUUGGAAUAUUUUCUCAUGCAACACUCUUCUGCUUGGUCAAAAGCAGUCCUGGAAGGGGCUUUCUGGUUCCACAAGGCACCUUUGGACCCAAGCAAUUAUUUAUGCAUUUCAGACAAUCAGAAAGGCACAUGUAUAAUACUGUAUAUACACAUUCUGGAGUGCUUACUCAUAUGACUAUGCGCAGAACAGAUGUACGUUUUUAUUCUCACGUCCUGCAUGGUUACCUUUUUGCUGCAUAAUAGUGCAUGCCCCCACCACUGGGACCCUAAAAAGUUGUUAGUAUACGCCAUGUACAUAUUAUUAUGAAAAAUAAUGAUUCCCCCCCCCCACUCUGCUGCUUCUAAGGAUCAAGAAAUGCCAGGAUCAGGAAAUGCCAAUAUAAUUAUCCUCAUAUGCAGUCGUUGAAUGAAGUAGAUUUAUCAGCACAUCCUAAUGAGACAUAAAAUUCCAGCUGAAUGGCCAAAUUCAUGAAAAACACAAGAAUGAUGGGACAUUCACCCAAUUAUCUUUGAGGAUGAAACAAUUUAGGAUGCUGCUGGAUUUGGACAAAAAAGAUCUGACUUAAAAUUCCAUCCUAAGCCUGUUAUUCUGGGCAAGGCUCCUGACUUCUUUUCAUGGUCUGUAAAAUGGGAAUGCCAACCUAUG